rnacentral:rRNA from 1 species
UACGGGGGGGGCAAGCGUUGUUCGGAAUUACUGGGCGUAAAGGGUUCGUAGGUGGCCAACUAAGUCAGACGUGAAAUCCCUCAGCUUAACUGGGGAACUGCGUCUGAUACUGGUUGGCUUGAGUGCAGGAGAGGAACGCGGAAUUCCAGGUGUAGCGGUGAAAUGCGUAGAUAUCUGGAGGAACACCGGUGGCGAAGGCGGCGUUCUGGCCUGCUACUGACGCUGAUGCGCGAAAGCUAGGGGAGCAAACGGG